rnacentral:rRNA from 1 species
UGGGGAAUUUUGACAAUGGGGCGCAAGCCUGAUCCAGCAAUGCCGCGUGUAUGAUGAAAGCCUUUCGGGGUGUAAAGUACUUUUGGCAGAGAAGAAAAGGUAUCUCUUAAUACAGGUACUGCUGACGGUAUCGCAGAAUAAGCACCGGCUAACUACGUGCCAGCAGCCGCGGUAAUACGUAGGGUGCAAGCGUUAAUCGGAAUUACUGGGCGUAAAGCGUGUGCAGGCGGUUCGGAAAGAAAGAUGUGAAAUCCCAGGGCUCAACCUGGGAACUGCAUUUUUAACUGCAAGGCUGGAGUAUGGCAGAGGGGGGUGGAAUUCCGCGUGUAGCAGUGAAAUGCGUAGAUAUGUGGAGGAAUACCGAUGGCGAAGGCAGCCCCCUGGGAUAAUACUGACGCUCAGACACGAAAGCGUGGGGAGCAAACAGGAUUAGAUACCCUGGUAGUCCACGCCCUAAACGAUGUCAACUAGCUGUUGGGGCCGUUUUGCUUCAGUAACGAAGCUAACGCGUGAAGUUGACCGCCUGGGGAGUACGGUCGCAAGAUUA